UACAGAGGGUGCAAGCGUUGUUCGGAAUUAUUGGGCGUAAAGCGCGUGUAGGCGGCAGUGCAAGUCGGGUGUGAAAGCCCUCAGCUCAACUGAGGAAGUGCGCUCGAAACUGCAUUGCUUGAGUACCGGAGAGGAUGGCGGAAUUCCCGAAGUAGAGGUGAAAUUCGUAGAUAUCGGGAGGAACACCGGUGGCGAAGGCGGCCAUCUGGACGGAUACUGACGCUGAGCCGCGAAAGCGUGGGUAGCAAACAGG
rnacentral:rRNA from 1 species